GACGAACGCUGGCGGCGUGCUUAACACAUGCAAGUCGAACGGUGAAGCGCCUUCCUUUUUGGUGGGUGUGGAUGAGUGGCGAACGGGUGAGUAACACGUGAGUAACCUGCCCCCUUCUUCUGGAUAACCGCAUGAAAGUGUGGCUAAUACGGGAUAUUCUGGGUCUGUCGCAUGAUGGGUCUGGGAAAGAUAUUGUUUCGGUGGGGGAUGGGCUCGCGGCCUAUCAGCUUGUUGGUGGGGUGAUGGCCUACCAAGGCGGUGACGGGUAGCCGGCCUGAGAGGGUGGACGGUCACACUGGGACUGAGACACGGCCCAGACUCCUAGGGGAGGCAGCAGUGGGGAAUAGUGCACAAUGGGCGCAAGCCUGAUGCAGCGACGCCGCGUGAGGGAUGGAGGCCUUCGGGUUGUGAACCUCUUUCGCCAGUGAAGCAGGGCUGCCUCGUUUGUGGGUGGGUUGACGGUAGCUGGAGAAGAAGCGCCGGCUAACUACGUG
rnacentral:rRNA from 1 species